GGAAAAGGUGGUCCCACGCCCCUCAGAACCACAUCCUCCCGGUGGAAACAGAAGCCCGGAGAGAGCAGUUUGCUACAUUAACAAGCUGAGCCGUGAAAGGAUUAGAUCCGCUAAGUGAGAGCCUGCUCUGUGCACCAUUGCUAAACACAUUUCAGAAAGCAGUGGAUUCGCCUUAAAUGAGUAUCUGCUGGAGGAGCAAAGCCCUAGGAAAACAAAGGGGCGCGCCAGGCCUGUCUCGGAGCACACAGCUCAGAGCAGCAGGGGAGUCGCUUAGCAAAGGGCCACCCACUUGCCUAUUAUUCCUCUCUCGCCUGUGACAUGACACAAGAACAAAGUAGACAUUAACCGCUACAUUAAAC
rnacentral:lncRNA from 1 species